rnacentral:rRNA from 1 species
CCUACGGGAGGCAGCAGUGAGGAAUAUUGGUCAAUGGACGAGAGUCUGAACCAGCCAAGUCGCGUGAAGGAUGACUGCCCUAUGGGUUGUAAACUUCUUUUAUAUGGGAAUAAAAUGUUCCACGUGUGGGUUUUUGUAUGUACCAUAUGAAUAAGGAUCGGCUAACUCCGUGCCAGCAGCCGCGGUAAUACGGAGGAUCCGAGCGUUAUCCGGAUUUAUUGGGUUUAAAGGGUGCGUAGGCGGGUUGUUAAGUCAGUUGUGAAAGUUUGCGGCUCAACCGUAAAAUUGCAGUUGAAACUGGCAGUCUUGAGUACAGGAGAGGUAGGCGGAAUGCGUGGUGUAGCGGUGAAAUGCUUAGAUAUCACGAAGAACUCCGAUUGCGAAGGCAGCUCACUGGACUGCAACUGACACUGAGGCUCGAAAGUGUGGGUAUCAAACAGGAUUAGAUACCCGGGUAGUC